rnacentral:rRNA from 1 species
AGUGAACGCUGGCGGUAGGCCUAACACAUGCAAGUCGAACGGCAGCACAGGAGAGCUUGCUCUCUGGGUGGCGAGUGGCGGACGGGUGAGGAAUACAUCGGAAUCUACUCUGUCGUGGGGGAUAACGUAGGGAAACUUACGCUAAUACCGCAUACGACCUACGGGUGAAAGCAGGGGACCUUCGGGCCUUGCGCGAUUGAAUGAGCCGAUGUCGGAUUAGCUAGUUGGCGGGGUAAAGGCCCACCAAGGCGACGAUCCGUAGCUGGUCUGAGAGGAUGAUCAGCCACACUGGAACUGAGACACGGUCCAGACUCCUACGAGAGGCAGCAGUGGGGAAUAUUGGACAAUGGGCGCAAGCCUGAUCCAGCCAUACCGCGUGGGUGAAGAAGGCCUUCGGGUUGUAAAGCCCUUUUGUUGGGAAAGAAACCCAGCUGGCUAAUACCCGGUUGGGAUGACGGUACCCAAAGAAUAAGCACCGGCUAACUUCGUGCCAGCAGCCGCGGUAA